UGGCAGGUUUUAUCCUGCUUGGUGCAGAUCGCCUCCGUGCGCCGCUCCCUCUUCAACAACGCCGAGAGGGCCAAGUUCUUAUCCCACCUGGUGGAUGGGGUGAAACGGAUACUGGAAAACCCCCAGAGUUUAUCAGACCCCAACAAUUACCACGAGUUCUGCCGGCUGCUGGCCCGGUUGAAAAGCAAUUACCAACUGGGAGAACUGGUGAAGGUGGAGAAUUACCCCGAGGUGAUCCGGCUCAUCGCCAACUUCACCGUCACCAGCCUGCAGCACUGGGAAUUUGCUCUCAACAAUGUGCUCU